rnacentral:rRNA from 1 species
CUUCCGGUUGAUCCUGCGGGACCCGACUGCUAUCAGAGUGGGACUAAGCCAUGCGAGUCAACGUAGCAAUACGUGGCAUACGGCUCAGUAACACGUAGUCAACAUGCCCAGGGGACGAGGAUAACCUCGGGAAACUGAGGAUAAACCUCGAUAGGCCAUGAUUUCUGGAAUGAUUCUUGGCUCAAACCUAUAUGGCCCCUGGAUUGGACUGCGGCCGAUCAGGCUGUUGGUGAGGUAAUGGCCCACCAAACCUAUUACCGGUACGGGCUCUGAGAGGAGGAGCCCGGAGAUGGGCACUGAGACAAGGGCCCAGGCCCUAUGGGGCGCAGCAGGCGCGAAACCUCUGCAAUAGGCGAAAGCCUGACAGGGUUACUCUGAGUGAUUUCCGUUAAGGAGAUCUUUUGGCACCUCUAAAAAUGGUGCAGAAUAAGGGGUGGGCAAGUCUGGUGUCAGCCGCCGCGGUAAUACCAGCACCCCGAGUGGUCGGGACGUUUAUUGGGCCUAAAGCAUCCGUAGCCGGUUCUACAAGUCUUCCGUUAAAUCCACCUGCUUAACAGAUGGGCUGCGGAAGAUACUAUAGGGCUAGGAGGCGGGAGAGGCAAGCGGUACUUUAUGGGUAGGGGUAAAAUCCGCUGAUCCAUAGAAGACCACCAGUGGCGAAGGCGGCUUGCCAGAACGCGCUCGACGGUGAGGGAUGAAAGCUGGGGGAGCAAACCGGAUUAGAUACCCGGGUAGUCCCAGCUGUAAACGAUGCAGACUCGGUGAUGGGUUGGCCUCGCGCCUGCCCAGUGCCGCAGGGAAGCCGUUAAGUCUGCCGCCUGGGGAGUACGGUCGCAAGACUGAAACUUAAAGGAAUUGGCGGGGGAGCA